rnacentral:lncRNA from 1 species
CAGUACAGCUAACUGAGCGCAUUACGCCGAAAAGCUGCAACUUGUGAGAGCGCGUAACGGCCGCAUCUUGCGGCAUUUCCGCACGUUAUGUUAAACGACUGCAAUCGUCGAAGGGGUCCAGGGAAGGAAUGACCAGACGAAGUGCACCACCGGCAGCGACAUGCGUCGUCUCUAUGGCUUUCUCGGUGGUUGCAGUAUGUCCAAUUUGGCCUCCUGUGAGCGACCUGACCGUGAUGGAAUUGCUGAAAAUUGCACAGAUGCAAGGCCUGCAGCAGAUAGCCUUACCCGGCGUCACUGGCAGAGUGGGCGGUUACGACUACGCUAAUGCCACGGCCAGGCACUUUAACGUGACACAGCUCGGUCGUGGCAAGAAGUUCUUGCGCUACUGUCGCUUCGGACGGAAGGACACGAUCGAAGUCCAGUACCGGAUUUCCGCAAUUCUGUCGACCCUGUGGUGGAAAGCACCCGCGGACCGGGCUUUCGGUGACAACGAAG